rnacentral:rRNA from 1 species
GAUGAACGCUGGCGGCGUGCCUAAUACAUGCAAGUCGAGCGAACGGACGAGAAGCUUGCUUCUCUGAUGUUAGCGGCGGACGGGUGAGUAACACGUGGAUAACCUACCUAUAAGACUGGGAUAACUUCGGGAAACCGUAGCUAAUACCGGAUAAUAUUUUGAACCGCAUGGUUCAAAAGUGAAAGACGGUCUUGCUGUCACUUAUAGAUGGAUCCGCGCUGCAUUAGAUAGUUGGUAAGGUAACGGCUUACCAAGGCAACGAUGCAUAGCCGACCUGAGAGGGUGAUAGGCCACACUGGAACUGAGACACGGUCCAGACUCCUACGGGAGGCAGCAGUAGGGAAUCUUCCGCAAUGGGCGAAAGCCUGACGGAGCAACGCCGCGUGAGUGAUGAAGGUCUUCGGAUCGUAAAACUCUGUUAUUAGGGAAGAACAUAUGUGUAAGUAAAUGUGCACAUCUUGACGGUACCUAAUCAGAAAGCCACGGCUAACUACGUG